rnacentral:misc_RNA from 1 species
UCCCAGUUAACCUGGGCAGUCUCGCUAGAGUCCCCGACAUUACUCGCUGGUAACUAACGAUAAGGGUUGCGCUCGUUGCGGGACUUAACCCAACACCUCACGGCACGAGCUGACGACAGCCAUGCAGCACCUGUGUAACAGUCCUUGCGGAAAGCCUAAUCUCUCAGGCGGUCUCUUACAUGUCAAGUCUGGGUAAGGUUCUUCGCGUUGCAUCGAAUUAAACCACAUGCUCCACUGCUUGUGCGGGCCCCCGUCAAUUCUUUUGAGUUUCACUCUUGCGAGCGUACUCUUCAGGCGGUGUACUUAUCACGUUAGCUACGGCGCAAACGGGGUUGAGCCCAUUCACACCAAGUACACAUCGUUUACGGCAAGGACUAC